CUACACAUGCAAGUCGAGGGGCAGCACGAAUUAGCUUGCUAAUUUGGUGGCGACCGCCGUACGGGUGCGUAACGCGUAUGCAACCUACCUUAUACAGGAGUAUAGCCCGGAGAAAUUCGGAUUAAUCCUCCAUAGUGCUGAUUUACCGCAUGGUAAUUCAGCUAAAGCUUCGGCGGUAUAAGAUGGGCAUGCGUCCUAUUAGCUAGAUGGUAAGGUAACGGCUUACCAUGGCUACGAUAGGUAGGGGGCCUGAGAGGGUGGUCCCCCACACUGGUACUGAGACACGGACCAGACUCCUACGGGAGGCAGCAGUGAGGAAUAUUGGUCAAUGGGCGCAAGCCUGAACCAGCCAUGCCGCGUGCAGGAAGAAUGCCCUCUGGGUUGUAAACUGCUUUUAUUUGGGAAUAAACCUUUCUACGUGUAGGAAGCUGAAGGUACCAAAUGAAUAAGCACCGGCUAACUCCGUGCCAGCAGCCGCGGUAAUACGGAGGGUGCAAGCGUUAUCCGGAAUCAUUGGGUUUAAAGGGUCCGCAGGCGGACUUAUAAGUCAGUGGUGAAGGCCUACAGCUUAACUGUAGAACUGCCAUUGAUACUGUAAGUCUUGAAUUCGGUCGAAGUGGGCGGAAUGUGUAGUGUAGCGGUGAAAUGCAUAGAUAUUACACAGAACACCGAUAGCGAAGGCAGCUCACUAGGCCUGGAUUGACGCUCAGGGACGAAAGCGUGGGGAUCAAACAGGAUUAGAUACCCUGGUAGUCCACGCUGUAAACGAUGAUUACUCGUUUUCGGCGAUAUACAGUCGGAGACUAAGCGAAAGUGAUAAGUAAUCCACCUGGGGAGUACGAUCGUCAGGUUGAAACUCAAAGGAAUUGACGGGGGCCCGCACAAGCGGUGGAGCAUGUGGUUUAAUUCGAUGAUACGCGAGGAACCUUACAGGGCUUUAAUGCAGUUGAUGAUGUGGAACAUGUCAGUCUUCGGACAUUUGC
rnacentral:rRNA from 1 species